rnacentral:rRNA from 1 species
GGGUUGUGAGGUUAAGCGACUAAGCGUACACGGUGGAUGCCCUGGCAGUCAGAGGCGAUGAAGGACGUGCUAAUCUGCGAAAAGCGACGGCGAGGUGAUAUGAACCCUUGACCCGUCGAUGUCCGAAUGGGGAAACCCAGUGUGUUUCGACACACUAUCGUUAACUGAAUACAUAGGUUAACGAGGCGAACCGGGGGAACUGAAACAUCUAAGUACCCCGAGGAAAAGAAAUCAACCGAGAUUCCCCCAGUAGCGGCGAGCGAACGGGGAGCAGCCCGGAGUCUGAAUCAGCUUGUGUGUUAGUGGAAGCGUCUGGAAAGUCGCACGGUACAGGGUGACAGUCCCGUACACGAAAGCACACAGGUUGUGAACUCGAAGAGUAGGGCGGGACACGUGGUAUCCUGUCUGAAUAUGGGGGGACCAUCCUCCAAGGCUAAAUACUCCUGACUGACCGAUAGUGAACCAGUACCGUGAGGGAAAGGCGAAAAGAACCCCGGCGAGGGGAGUGAAAAAGAACCUGAAACCGUGUACGUACAAGCAGUGGGAGCACCUUCGUGGUGUGACUGCGUACCUUUUGUAUAAUGGGUCAGCGACUUAUAUUCUGUAGCAAGGUUAACCGUAUAGGGGAGCCGCAGGGAAACCGAGUCUUAACUGGGCGUUAAGUUGCAGGGUAUAGACCCGAAACCCGGUGAUCUAGCCAUGGGCAGGUUGAAGGUUGGGUAACACUAACUGGAGGACCGAACCGACUAAUGUUGAAAAAUUAGCGGAUGACCUGUGGCUGGGGGUGAAAGGCCAAUCAAACCGGGAGAUAGCUGGUUCUCCCCGAAAGCUAUUUAGGUAGCGCCUCGUGAAUUCAUCUUCGGGGGUAGAGCACUGUUUCGGCUAGGGGGCCAUCCCGGCUUACCAACCCGAUGCAAACUACGAAUACCGAAGAAUGUUAUCACGGGAGACACACGGCGGGUGCUAACGUCCGUCGUGAAGAGGGAAACAACCCAGACCGCCAGCUAAGGUCCCAAAGUCAUGGUUAAGUGGGAAACGAUGUGGGAAGGCACAGACAGCCAGGAUGUUGGCUUAGAAGCAGCCAUCAUUUAAAGAAAGCGUAAUAGCUCACUGGUCGAGUCGGCCUGCGCGGAAGAUGUAACGGGGCUAAACCAUGCACCGAAGCUGCGGCAGCGACACUAUGUGUUGUUGGGUAGGGGAGCGUUCUGUAAGCCGUUGAAGGUGUGCUGUGAGGCAUGCUGGAGGUAUCAGAAGUGCGAAUGCUGACAUAAGUAACGAUAAAGCGGGUGAAAAGCCCGCUCGCCGGAAGACCAAGGGUUCCUGUCCAACGUUAAUCGGGGCAGGGUGAGUCGACCCCUAAGGCGAGGCCGAAAGGCGUAGUCGAUGGGAAACAGGUUAAUAUUCCUGUACUUGGUGUUACUGCGAAGGGGGGACGGAGAAGGCUAUGUCAGCCGGGCGACGGUUGUCCCGGUUUAAGCGUGUAGGUGUGUGUUCCAGGCAAAUCCGGUUCACUUUAACACUGAGGCGUGAUGACGAGGCACUACGGUGCUGAAGUGAUAAAUGCCCUGCUUCCAGGAAAAGCCUCUAAGCAUCAGGUAACACGAAAUCGUACCCCAAACCGACACAGGUGGUCAGGUAGAGAAUACCAAGGCGCUUGAGAGAACUCGGGUGAAGGAACUAGGCAAAAUGGUGCCGUAACUUCGGGAGAAGGCACGCUGAUAUGUAGGUGAAGUCCCUGCGGACGGAGCUGAAAUCAGUCGAAGAUACCAGCUGGCUGCAACUGUUUAUUAAAAACACAGCACUGUGCAAACACGAAAGUGGACGUAUACGGUGUGACGCCUGCCCGGUGCCGGAAGGUUAAUUGAUGGGGUUAGCGGCAACGCGAAGCUCUUGAUCGAAGCCCCGGUAAACGGCGGCCGUAACUAUAACGGUCCUAAGGUAGCGAAAUUCCUUGUCGGGUAAGUUCCGACCUGCACGAAUGGCGUAAUGAUGGCCAGGCUGUCUCCACCCGAGACUCAGUGAAAUUGAACUCGCUGUGAAGAUGCAGUGUACCCGCGGCAAGACGGAAAGACCCCGUGAACCUUUACUAUAGCUUGACACUGAACACUGGUCCUUGAUGUGUAGGAUAGGUGGGAGGCUUUGAAGCGUGGACGCCAGUCUGCGUGGAGCCGUCCUUGAAAUACCACCCUUUAAUGGCUGGUGUUCUAACGUGGACCCGUGAUCCGGGUUGCGGACAGUGUCUGGUGGGUAGUUUGACUGGGGCGGUCUCCUCCCAAAGAGUAACGGAGGAGCACGAAGGUUAGCUAAUCCUGGUCGGACAUCAGGAGGUUAGUGCAAUGGCAUAAGCUAGCUUGACUGCGAGAGUGACGGCUCGAGCAGGUGCGAAAGCAGGUCAUAGUGAUCCGGUGGUUCUGAAUGGAAGGGCCAUCGCUCAACGGAUAAAAGGUACUCCGGGGAUAACAGGCUGAUACCGCCCAAGAGUUCAUAUCGACGGCGGUGUUUGGCACCUCGAUGUCGGCUCAUCACAUCCUGGGGCUGAAGUAGGUCCCAAGGGUAUGGCUGUUCGCCAUUUAAAGUGGUACGCGAGCUGGGUUUAGAACGUCGUGAGACAGUUCGGUCCCUAUCUGCCGUGGGCGCUGGAGAAUUGAGGGGGGCUGCUCCUAGUACGAGAGGACCGGAGUGGACGCAUCACUGGUGUUCGGGUUGUCAUGCCAAUGGCACUGCCCGGUAGCUAAAUGCGGAAGAGAUAAGUGCUGAAAGCAUCUAAGCACGAAACUUGCCCCGAGAUGAGUUCUCCCUGAGACUAUAAGUCUCCUGAAGGAACGUUGAAGACGACGACGUUGAUAGGCCGGGUGUGUAAGCGCAGCGAUGCGUUGAGCUAACCGGUACUAAUGAACCGUGAGGCUUAACCUUACAACGCCGAAGCUGUU